rnacentral:rRNA from 1 species
AUGGAGUACUAUCAUAUUGCCAACAAGAUGUUUAAUAGUGAGGAUGGAGAUUAUACAUUCUAUAACAAAUAUGGUCUUGAGAAAGGUUUUAGUGUCCGGAGAAGCUAUAUCGAGUGGGAUGGAUCCAACUGCCAUAUAAUUUUAAGGAAAUUUGUGUGUAGUCGUGAAGGGGUUCGUGAAGAGAAGCACAUGAAGAGGAAGAUGGAAGAUAGAAAGAGGAGGCCACGGAGUAUAACUCGUGUAGGGUGUAAAGCUAAAUUGGUGAUUGCAAGACAGGAGGAAACAGGUCAGUGGUUUGUCAAGGAUUUCAUCGAUGAACACAACCAUACUCUAGCCCCACGGGAUCUGUCGUGUCUUUUGCGUUCACACAGAAGAAUUAGCGAUGAGCAGAAAGCAGACAUUGCAGACAUGGAAAAAUCUAGGAUCAGAAAACACCAUAUUAUGGAUAUUAUGUGCAUGCAAUACGGUGGAUAUGAUGAGCAUGGAUGCAUUAUGAGGGACAUUUACAAUUUCUGCCAGGCUAACAAGCAGGAAACAAUUUCUUCCGGGGAUGCUCAAACGGUGAUCAAUCACAUGGUGGCGAGGCAAGAGCAAAAUUCAGAUUUUUUCUUCAGGUACUUGGUUGAUGAAGCUAGCCAUCUGAAGGGACUGUUCUGGUGUGAUAGUCAAUCCUGACUUGACCACGAGGCUUUCGGAGACGUUAUUGUUUUUGAUAGCACAUACAGAACCAAUAAGUACAAUCUGCCAUUUGUGCCGUUUGUUGGGUUGAAUCACCACCGCAGCACCGUUAUUUUUGCAUGUGGUAUCAUUUCACAUGAAACAAGCCAGGCAUACGAGUGGAUGUUACAGACCUUUUCUGAUGCUAUGGGACAGAAGCAUCCUAUAUCUGUGAUCACGGAUGGGGACCUUGCAAUGCAGAGAGCAAUCAGGGUGGUGUGGCCUGACUCAAACCAUAGGCUCUGUAUAUGGCACAUUCAGCAGAACAUUGUACGCCAUCUGCAUGAUGACGCGGUAAAUGAGGAAUUCCGAUCUUUCAUAUAUGAUACAUCUUCCAUUGAAGAGCAUGAGAGAAAAUGGUUACACUUCUUACAACGGAAUAAAGUAACAAGUGAGGACUCCUGGCUGCAUCAGAUGUAUAAGAUGAGAAAACUGUGGUGUGCUCCAUAUCUUGAGGGCCGUUGUCUAGGAUUGAGCAGCAAUCAGCGGAGUGAGAGUUUAAACUCGAUGCUACAUACGCAUCUUGAGGCUAAGAUGACGUUGUUUCAAAUGCUAGAGCACUAUGAGCGUUGCCUUGUGUCACGACGCUUGAACGAGGCUCUCCAAGACGUCGAGGCCUUACAGUCCGUUUCGUUCACAGAGGAAAAUGCUUCAGUUCUUGAGAAACACGCCGCGAAAGUUUUCACUCCUGUUGUGUUUAAGUUGGUCUUAUGGAGCAUAGAUGCUGUCAAAAAAUGUGAGAUUAGAGAGGUACUUGAUGCAACAGAGGUUACCACAUACGUUGUGUCUAAGAAGGAAAGAAUCGAUAAAAAGAUCGAAGUGCGCACGGAGUCGAAGGAUGGUAUACUUCGCAGUAUCAGUUGUUCUUGCCGCAAAUUGGAAUGCGCAGGCACACCAUGUUCCCACAUAUUUUACAUAUUGUGA